UCGAGAAUAAUUCACAAUGGACGAAAGUCUGAUGAUGCGACGCCGCGUGCGCGAUGAAGGCCUUCGGGUUGUAAAGCGCUUUUGUCAGGGAAGAAGAUUACUGGUGUUAAUAGUAUCGGUAGUUUGACGGUACCUGAAGAAUAAGCCCCGGCUAAUUUCGUGCCAGCAGCCGCGGUAAUACGAAAGGGGCAAGCGUUGUUCGGAUUUACUGGGCGUAAAGGGGGUCUAGGCGGACUCUUAAGUUUAUUGUGAAACCUCGGAGCUUAACUCCGAGCCUGCAGUAGAUACUGGGAGACUAGAGUAUGUGAGAUGCAAGCGGAAUAUUAGGUGUAGCGGUGAAAUGCGUAGAUAUCUAAUAGAACACCGGAGGCGAAGGCGGCUUGCAAGCACAAAACUGACGCUGAAGCCCGAAAGCGUGGGGAGCGAACA
rnacentral:rRNA from 1 species